rnacentral:rRNA from 1 species
UACGAAGGGGGCAAGCGUUGUUCGGAAUUACUGGGCGUAAAGGGCUCGUAGGCGGCCAACUAAGUCGGAUGUGAAAUCCCCAGGCUCAACCUGGGAACUGCAUCCGAUACUGGAUGGCUUGAAUCCGGGAGAGGGAUGCAGAAUUCCAGGUGUAGCGGUGAAAUGCGUAGAUAUCUGGAGGAAUACCGGUGGCGAAGGCGGCAUCCUGGACCGGCAUUGACGCUGAGGAGCGAAAGCUAGGGGAGCAAACGGG